CAAAUACAUCAUCACAGAAAAGAGCUCCAGGGGAGUAUUGCCGCACAUAACAUUUUUUUGUCUCCUUGUUCUAACUCAACAUGUAGACCCUAACUGCACUAUGAAAUCUCUCCUUGCAUGUCAAACAGUGUUUUUAGCUUGUUCUUUCUCUCUCUGUAUGUGAGUGCAGGUGCAGCUGAGAGAGAUUGUGACUUGGCUGAAUGCGCGUGUGUGUGUGUGUGUGUGUGUGUGUGUGCAUGGGUGUGUGUGUGUGUGUGUGUGCGUGCGUGUGUGUGUGUCUGUGCUGUACAUAAUGUCUAUAAUGGUUUCACUCUGCAGAAUGGCAGCAAUGUAACAUUCAAACAGUUCCACGGAGCUCUAUCGCCAGCGGGCCAAGACAUCAGUGGAAGCCAUCAUCGACGCCGCGUUAUACAGCAUACUGAUUGUUAACUUAACAUGGGGAAGAUAUACGGUGGCCCCCAUUAUGCUGACAGCAAGACACACACAGAGCUGACAGACGUCUGCACACGCGCAGGAGCUGCACAUUUUUGCCAUGAAACUUUUCACAUUUGCUGUAACAGGCUCGUAAUGAUCCACAGAUGUUAAACCAAAUAUGCAACAAGGUAUGAUGGAGUUUCUGAUAGUUUAAGGUACAAAUUUGUACCAAUUCAGCCAGAAGUGAAGGUAACUAAAGUCAGUUAAGGUGGCAUAUUGUUUGUGGCCCUCAGUGGCACAUGGGGGAAAAAACACACAGCUGACGAUUAUACUGUUUCUAUAUAGGUGCAUUUUGGUCUCUAGUGUAUUCAAGAUACUGACCCAUUGACGAUCUAUUGUGCUGCAAAAAAAUACAAUUGUAAUCUCUUUUUUUUUUUUUUUACUAGGGUCAGACUGACACAAAGUCUGAGAGAAUGAAUCGAAGGGAGAAAAAGGUGUUUUUGUUGCUGCCUUAUUUGCUUUUUCAAUGGUCAGUAAAAAAUCAAACGAUACAAAAAGCAACAUGCUUCAGGUCCACAAUCUCUCAACUGGGCUCAACAGUUGUCGUAGGGUAAUGACACUGAGAAUGGGAUGUUAGCGUCCUCUUAACACAGUUUUUUUUUUUUUUUUUUUUUUUUAAAUGAGUCUCUCAAUCUCACAGCGGGAGUCCACUCUGUAAUUAGUGGCUGACUUUCAGAUCCUUCCCUGUCUCUACUCACGCCACACCAUGGGAUUGGACAGGACAACUGGGGAAUUCAGAUGGAAAGAUAGAAACGGAGAGGGAGAGAAGGAGAGAGAAUUCCUCUCUGUGGAAAUGAUGUUGUCCUCCCACACAGGAGCAUUGGCAGACAGUUCUUGGACGCAAGGCUUUGUCUGCUCAUUAGAUAAGCAGGAAAGCAGCAGGAGUCUUGCAAGCUGUCUCUCUCUAUCUGUCUCUCUCUCUCCCUCCCUCCCAAACACAAACAAACACACACAUACUGUAUGCGGACACGAACGGAUGCAUAUACAGGAAGACACAGGUUGACGCUGAUGCACAGAAAAGCACAAACACCUUUAAAUGCUGAAUUGGCACAUAUAUAAAUAGCAAGCGCAAACUCACAAUUUCAGAAAAGACAUAUUUUCACUAAUUCCUCUCCCAUUUCGUUCACCUGGAGCUUGAAUACCACUUUUACAUCAGUAUUCAAUGCAUAGCUUCUUCUUCACAAAUUCUGACAUGUAAUCAAGCUCCUUUUUCCCCGAUGCAGCUGUGAUCACUCCGCACAGUUCAAAGAAUCUGCAGGGCCUAAUCCCGUUUAAUUUCUCGUGUGUUUUGGUCCUCGAGUUGAGGUUGUGCCAUCACUGCCGCUCAGUGGCAAAAUGUAAUGUGUAAUAUGCAAUAAUCCUUCACGCCGCCGUCACCAAAGCAGCGAGAAAGCGGAUUGUGAUGGAAAUCGUCGCCACUGAUACAUAAUCCCCUCACAGGUGAGCAAGUCACCUAUUCAUAACGUGCCCCUGAUUUGACUGAAAGGGCGGUGGUGGAAUAUAUAGACAAGAGGACAUUUAUAGGAUUUAAUGAAGGGAUUUCAUUUACAUAACACUGCAUUUUUUUCCAGUUUGAAUGAUUUCCAUCCAUCCAACAAGCUAUCAAUUUCCGUCCUGUUUAAUAUUUGCUGGAACCUCUGCCAACCUACAAUGUACAAUUUGACAGUUUGGCAGAAAAAUCCUACUCUGAUUUAGGAAGUAGUGGGUUACAGAUGGUGAAUAAGUAUGUUCCUCCCCUAACAUAACAAAAAUAUGUUUUAAAAGUCCCAUAUUUUACUUGCCAUGUAUUUUAUUUUAAGUUUUGAUAUCCAUAAAACGAAAACAUCUCAAUGUUGUUUUACAUCUCCUCUCUCAUGCUUCUCUUAGAAGCUCUAGCAACAACAUGCUGGUCAGAGAUUUCAGGUAAACACUCAGAGAAACCAAAUCCUGCAUGGUUGGAUGGUGGGUGCAGGUGGGCCGGGCUUUGGGCAUAGCUGAGAGCUGUGACUGCUUUGUUGUGACAUCACAAAGUUAAGAAAGUCCUGACAGCUUGUUUUAAAGCACAGUUUCUGAAUACGGGCUGUGUGCAUUUCUCUGUGGAUUGAGCACUUUGAUACUUUCACAGUAUUAAUAUAGAACCUACACCUGCUUUAUAAUCAAAAACGACAUGGAAAUUUAAUUUCAUACAAUUUUUUAAUAAAAUUUUAUUUCUUUUCUUUUUGUGGUUUUAAACCUCUGAGGCCCGCAUUAAGACUUUUUCGUACCGUGGUGUUUUGCCUUAUGUUUAAAAGUUUCACCAAGUGCUACACAGAUUCAAAAUCAGCUAAUAAAGAAUUCUGUUCAGUACAAUAGGGGAUAGUAACACAUGAAACAAAAAAAUUGCACACAUUUGUCUGGAUUGUGCUAGAGUUGAUUUGAAGUUUCUAUCUUUUUCUGUCCAUGAGUUAUGCUUUUCUUUUGAGCAGGAUUUACACCUUGAAUAAUCAGCUCCAAAGCUUCAGCUGUACUAAUAUGUUACUGGCCAUAUCCUUCUGUCGGUUUUCUGUCACUACAAUAAGCUACAGAAACCAAUUUCUCCUCACUUUGAGCUCGCAAUAAUACUGUAUUUAUUUUGGGUAUACGCCACACUGGAGCUAAUAGGAAUGUCAAAAUCAGUGACGUGGCUGUGACGUGCCUCUAGACGUCUCUAGCAAAAAUGGCGGAUGCGAAUCUAUCGGAAAACACACGGAAAGAGAGCAGCUAGGCGCCAGGCAAACGGAGACGGUUCUUGGCGAGAAAAGGAAUGAAGUUUGAUGCUGAUCUCACAACGUUUCUUCGAGUCUGAGCACAGACAUUUGGGUCUGGAAAUUUUAGAGGACACUGCCAUUGUGGAUGUGAUGGGCGGCACAGCAGCUUUUACAGACUUCAAAAGGACUAUUCCCUGUACAGCUGAUGGCUGAUGACAGUGUCGGACACUUUAUUUUGGAUUAUUCGACCACUGGCACACGAAUAACAUUUAUAGAGUGUGGAAGGAGAGACACUACUGUGAUUUGCUAACAAUACUAAGUACAUGAGAUAAUAUAGGGCAUCAAACAAUGGCAGAUCCAUCAUUGAUCUAUUUUCCAUGCCUUCUGUCCAAAUUGUGUUUAUACUUACUUUUCAUUUGCUUAUUGGCUAAAUAGAGUGAAUAACUAGAGAA